CUCACUACUGUCACAGGAAACGCUCAGAUCAGAACCAGGACCAAGCAGCAGGGGGAGUAGAGCUCUCCAGCCAAGCACAGCAACCUGAAUCUGAAGAACCAAUUUACUGUAAUAUUGAGACCAGCAAACACAACAUUAAAAAGAAAGAUACUGAAGAACCAAUUUACUGUAAUACUGACACAAGCAAGCAAAACAAGAAAAAGAAAGGUAAGAAUUGCUGCAAAUUAUUUCUCUAAAUUCCAAACACUAUCAACAAUUCUGGUAUAAAACAGGGAACUAUUGAUAUAAUGUGUUUACUGUCCUAUCUGUCAUAACAGUCUGUUUAUUUAACACAGUCAAACCUGCUGAGACUGAUACAGUGAACUCAGCUGUGAAACUAACUACAGGUUAGAAUAUCUUA